UAUGAUUCCAAGUGAUGGCAUAAGGGAGACUAGCUGUUGGAUCAUGGGUGCUGGCAUGGAGGUGGCCAGGUGGGCUGCCUGCUCCUCUUCCUUUCCAUGCUUCGUCUGUGUGCCUCCCAGCAACGAUCUGACAGGAAUCCUUACAAGGACUUUCAGCGAGUUGUGGCCUCAUUUAAGAACACGGAUGAAAAGGGGGCAUAGGAGGGCCAGCACAUUUCCCUGGGGGGAAGGAGAGAGGAUGACACAUGUCAGCUUGCUGAGGAAACCAUGGGUUUGUGUCCAGGUCAUCACUCAGAAAGUUUUGGACCGGCCUCAGACCAAAGAAGGAAGGUGCCUUUCCUAGGGAAACCUGUGUUUUAAAUCUUCCAGGAAAAGGAGAUUCAAGUAAAUAUUGGAAACCCACAGUCAGGAUCUCCAUAAUGAUGGGAAUUACAGACAAGGGGACUGCAGAAUGCUUCCACAGCAGCACCAGUGUUUUGGAUCCACGUUUGCAAACUUUGCGCUGGCAUAAAUGGCUGUGUGCAUAAAAAUGCAGCAGUGAAUUUCUUGUACUUCCUCAUAAACUGAUAAAGUGAGUAAGACAAAAUCCAAGUUGAGAGAGGUUCACAAAUUUUUCAAGACCAAGUUUCAAGCAGACCUGAGCCUAUGCCUUCCACCUGUAAACAAGAUAACUUCAGGCUGUGAUUAAAGUGAGCAACAUAGAAGGGUUAUGGAAGCCAAAUCCACUCCUUUCUUUGAGACCCUUUCAAGCCUAGAACAGUGUCCAACACCAUUUUCCAAGUUUAGUGAGCUGAAUCCUAUCCUUGCAUCCCAGACAUGAGUAAGCAUGGGACUGCAGAAUGUUUGGGCCAUGGGGCUUGCCAUUCACAACCUGAUGCCAAGCCCUUCCUCAGCUAUCCAUUGCACAUGGAGUUUGAGCUUCCCCAUAGAUGCUACAGACAUCAAAAUACUUUGAGCAACUCAAGUGCAGGAUUUGUCCUCUGCAGACUCCUCCCCACAUGUUCAUCUCACAAAAAUACUUCUCCUGCCAGCUGCUGGCAUGCUGGCAAGGCUCUGGAUCUCACCUGCCAUCAUCCUGUACUGUAACAGAGUUUAUGGCUUUUGGUCUUUUGUCCUGUUGAUCUAAAUUGGCUCAAAGAUGGUCAGGAAGUGCUUUGUGGUCUGGAAUGCAGUGAGGUGUGGGGAGAAAACCUCCUGUGAACCCUGCUGGGCAGGAUGGGCCUUGACAGGGUGACCCCAGCCUUAGGUGUUCAUAAUGGCAGUAGGUCUACAGCUCCACAGCCUCCACUUUUGCUGCCCCAUCUUCUGCAACUGGUUUCUGCCCUUUUCUUUGACAUUUAAAGGACAAAAGCCAGAGAGCUUAUGUUUCCGCCAGCCCUCUCCAAGCACAGAGUGUAUCCCUGCUAAGCCAGAACAGGCUGCACAGAAAGUAAAUGUACAACCAGGGUCCUACAGCAGUGCUGAAUGCCAGCCAGGUUUGGUGGCCAGUGAGUUUGCGGACGUGGGAAGGACACUGCUGGGAGGUGUGACAUAAGACCUUCAUGACUCUAGACAUCCCUGGUGCAUGCGCACAAUAGUUACCUCAGUAACAGGUGUUAAAAGUCCCAGCUCCCUCAGUAACAGGCAUUGCCACCCUCCCUCUCCCCAGAGGAUCCUAUUCUCAGCAGGCUAACAAUGCCUAACUCGCCCAUCACACGCUGUGGGCAUGCCAAGUAUUCAAGAGGGGCCGUCCUUUGGAAAGGAGGGCCUAUUUUCAGCUGCAGCCUUUUGCUGAAGCAGGGAAGCUCUGGCCAGAGGCCCUGCAUUUUGCAAGGCUUUGCUGGAUUGCUGUGCCAGCUGGUUCCUCAGCAUGGCAAUGUCACAGUAUCCACACCAGCCAGGGUAAAGCGAUAGCUUGUUAAUGUCAGCAGCUUGAGCUGGUGAAGGUGCACUCUUUGAUCCUUCCCAGCUGAAAAACAAUACAGCUUUGCUGCUCCUCAUCAGUCAGUGGGGACAUGUCCUGAGAACUGGCUGAGCCUGGCCAGCUGGGGAAGGGAAAGCAAGGGGGAAAACUGCUGCUUAUUGCACUGACGGAGAGGUGCCACUCUCAGAUGCAAGGGGAGGAGUAAACAGAUAUCUUGCAUGGCUAGUGCUCAAUGGCAAGUACAGCUGCAUUAAGACAGGUGCACCAAAAUAUCACCAGACCACUCUGUCAUUGGUAGAAGGGACAUGUUUCUUGGUUUCCAAUUGCAACCUGGACAUAUUUGAGAAUAAAGGCUUUAAUAAACAUCAGUGCCUGCAAGGCUAUAUUCCUCCUGCAAUUCAGCUGGAAUUAAUACAAGGCCAGUUAUUGUUCAGUACCCUCCUCUUUCCUUUGGCCCCUAUAUACCUCCACCCCAUACAUUUCUGGAGGUAAGGCUUUCUCCUUUCCAGACAGUACCUCACCAUGUGACAGCAUGCUGACAGGUUAAAUCGUGUUCCCAGCACAUGUUCCAUCAUGUAUCCCAUCGUGGGUCCCAUUGUGGGUCCCAUCAUGUAGUCCCACAACAGAUCUCAUUACAGAUCCUACCAUGGGUGCAGCGUUAACUUGAAGGGCAUGAACAGGCAGCUGGAUCCUUGGCUGCACUUGCAGACAGGGCUCUGUGUGAGCUCAGGUGAGACAGAUGUGCUCCCAGGAUACAAACAAAGGUUGCAAGGAGCAUCUGCACAAGGGCAGAUCCAUAGCUAAAGCAGCACCACAGUUUGGCAUCACCCUCUCCCAGCAGAGCUAGCAAGGGGACCCUAAAUGGUUUGAAAUCAGCAUACAUAAGCACACUGCUUAAAAGCUGCAGCCAUUUCCCUCUUACUGCUGUCUGCAGGAUCCCAGCUAGCGCCCAAGGGAUUCCCCAAGAUAGCAUUCCUGCUGCUCACCAACAUCAGCCCUGGCCCUGGGUGUUCAAGUAUUGGAACAGGCUGCCCAGGGAGGUGGUGGAGUCACCAUCCAUGGAGAUGUUCAAGAAAUGUGAGAUGUUGUACUAAGGGACAUGGUUUAGCAGGGACAUACUGAUGGUGUAUGACAGUUGGACUAGGUCACCUUAGAGGUCUUUUCCAACCUUAGUGAUUCUAUGAUUCUAAGCUAGGGGGGAGUUCCACCUAGGCACAACUUUGUUUUUUGCCCAGAGACCUGUUCUUCAUUGCCUCACACUAGGGAAAGUUUGCUUCCACUCAGACAGCAACCUCAGCACCUAUGUAUUGUACACCAACAGAACAUUUCUUCAAUUUAAAAGGGGAUUAAUGUCUAACCCACCAUAACAACCAUGGUCAAGGCUCAUCUCUCAAAGCCCUCAGUGACUCAUAGGUUGGCUUUUGUGCCCAAAAACUCCUCUAAUUUUUCCA